UUCAUCCACAUUUUCAUCUCAGUGGUCCCUCUUAUACUUCAUGUAUGCUUUGAUACAUGGUUUGGAAGGAAGCCAAACUUUGUGACUCAUUUUUAGUAUUGUGUGUUGGGGUGCAACAUAAGAAAUUGGAAUUUAUCUCUUAAACUCUUGUCUCCCUUGCCUCUUCCUCCCUAGUGCCUCCCCCUGCCCUCCAUUCCUUUCCACCCUCUCUCCAGGAGGGCAUGGCCAGCGUCCACUUACCUACUCUCUCCUUCUGUCUUUCUCUGCCUCUACUACUCUCUUAACUCCCAUCCGCAUGCCCUAAAUAAACUCCAUUCUAUACUUAAAAAAAAAAAAAAAAAAGAGGAAUUUAACGCCUAGGUUAUAUUUUGCUGUGCGAUUGUAGCCGAGGAGGCAAGUGUCCCAAGCUAAGAAGUUAGGCUGCCUAUUUAUUAUCUGAGGGUUUCAGAACUCUCUCUCUCAGAUGUCAGAGUGCAGCAUCAUUCAGAACCAGUUUUUCCUAGUCUGUCAGCAAGCAGCAGGGAGGUUGUGCAGAGCAGGUCCGCAGGUGGAGCUGUGUGGUAGGAAGCUGAUGACUGAGCGGGAGGGAAUGGAAUCCCCGGGGCAGGGAUAACGGCAAGAGCAGGACCUUGACCAGAACAGGAAAAAAAAAGUAUUAAAAAUUAAGGUUGAGAAAGCGCUUGCUCACAAAGUGUUUGGGGGAACCACGUGACCCUAACUAUGAUUUAGUGGGCGGGUCUAGGAGAACAGCUCCUAAGAUCCAGGCCGGAGUGACAGGAACUACCACCAAUCAACUUUCUACCUUUCGGUUUCUGCGUCCUAGCUGUCUCUGGACCCGGAAAAGUCUCCUCGGAAGCAUUUCCGUGGCGGAGGGCCUGGGAGAGGCGGCAGUCCGCAGCGCAACUCUUGGCACCGCAGCCCGGCGGCCCCGGAAGGUCCCAGGCAUCCUUUAUUUUUGUUCCAUGAAAAGUUCUGGGUGCUUUCUGAAGACUCUUUCCCUUGUGCAGGUAUCACACUCCUCAGGUAGUUCAGCUCACCUGUGAAACUGAGAGCCCUGGAUGGUGAAGAGAGGAAACUAGCAAAGGAUCCAGGUAUGUUAGAGAGAAUGAAGAAGGGAUGAGGAAGGGCUCAAGUCCCAGUACAAAGAGGACAUGAGAUU
rnacentral:lncRNA from 1 species